rnacentral:rRNA from 1 species
CUACGGGCCGCUCCAGUGAGGAAUAUUGCACAAUGGGGGGAACCCUGAUGCAGCAACGCCGCGUGGAGGAUGACGCAUUUCGGUGUGUAAACUCCUUUUAUAUGUCAAGAAAAUGACGGUAGCAUAUGAAUAAGCACCGGCUAACUCCGUGCCAGCAGCCGCGGUAAUACGGAGGGUGCAAGCGUUACUCGGAAUCACUGGGCGUAAAGGACGCGUAGGCGGGUUGGAAAGUCAGGUGUGAAAUCCUACAGCUUAACUGUAGAACUGCACUUGAAACUUCUAAUCUAGAGAAUGGGAGGGGAGAUGGAAUUAGUGGUGUAGGGGUAAAAUCCGUAGAUAUCACUAGGAAUACCUAAAGCGAAGGCGAUCUCCUGGAACAUUACUGACGCUAAGGCGUGAAAGCGUGGGGAGCAAACAGGAUUAGAUACCCCCGUAGUC